rnacentral:rRNA from 1 species
AUUCAAGUGAAUAAGUGCAUAUAAUGGAUGCCUUGGCGGUAAGAGGCGAUGAAGGACGUGGUAGCCUGCGAUAAGCUUCGGUUAGCUGGCAAAUAAGCUUUGAUCCGGAGAUUUCCGAAUGAGGAAACUUACUUAACUUUUGUUAAGUAUUAUUAUUUGAAUACAUAGAAUAAUAAAGCUAACUCAGGGAACUGAAACAUCUAAGUACCUGAAGGAAAAGAAAUCAAAAACGAGAUUCCGAUAGUAGUGGCGAGCGAACUUGGAAAAGUCUAGUUAUCAAAUUAAUGUUUAUGAUAGUAGAAAUAUUUGGAAAAGUAUAUAAUAUAGGGUGAUAGUCCCGUAUACGAAAUUGUUUAUAUUAUGGAUGACGAAAAGUAGGCCGGGACACGUGGUAUCCCGGUUGAAGAUGGGGGGACCAUCCUCCAAGACUAAAUACUACUUACCGACCGAUAGUGAACUAGUACCGUGAGGGAAAGGUGAAAAGAACCCCGGUGAGGGGAGUGAAAUAGAAUCUGAAAUUGUAUGCAUACAAGCAGUAGGAGCUAAUUUUUAAUAUUAGUGACUGCGUACCUUUUGUAUAAUGGGUCAGCGAGUUAUUUGCUGUAGCGUUAGCUUAACCGUUUAGGGGAGGCGUAGAGAAAUCGAGUCUUAAUAGGGCGUUAGUUGCAGUAAGUAGACCCGAAACCGGGCGAUCUAUCCAUGGCCAGGAUGAAGGUAUAGUAAUGUAUACUGGAGGUCCGAACCCACUAAUGUUGCAAAAUUAGGGGAUGAGUUGUGGAUAGGAGUGAAAGGCUAAUCAAGCUCGGAGAUAGCUGGUUCUCCUCGAAAGCUAUUUAGGUAGUGCCUUGCAUUUUUGCUCUUGGGGGUAGAGCACUGUUUCGGCUAGAGGGGUGUGAUUACCUUAUCAAACCGAUGCAAACUCCGAAUACCAAGAAGUAUAGUGCAGGAGUCACACAGUGGGUGAUAACGUCCAUUGUGGAAAGGGAAACAACCCAGAUCGUCGGCUAAGGUCCCAAAAUUAUAGUUAAGUGGGAAACGAAGUGGGAAGGCAUAGACAGCCAGGAGGUUGGCUUAGAAGCAGCCAUCCUUUAAGGAAAGCGUAAUAGCUCACUGGUCGAGUCGUCCUGCGCGGAAGAUUUAACGGGGCUCAAACUAUAUACCGAAGCUGCGAGCUUAUUAUUAUUGUUUAAUAAUAAGCGGUAGAGGAGCGUUCUGUAAGCUGUAGAAGGUGUGUUGAGAAGCAUGCUGGAGGUAUCAGAAGUGCGAAUGCUGACAUGAGUAACGAUAAUGUGGGUGAAAAUCCUACACGCCGUAAGUCCAAGGUUUCCUGCUCCACGUUGAUCGGAGCAGGGUUAGUCGGUUCCUAAGGUGAGGCUGAAAAGCGUAAUCGAUGGAAAGCAGGUUAAUAUUCCUGCACUUGACAAUAUUUCGAUGGAGAGACGAAGAAAGCUAGAUUAGCUAUCAGUUGGUUUUGGUAGUUUAAGUAUGUAGAUUUUACAUUUAGGAAAAUCCGGAUGUAUUUAAGAUCAAGGUAUGAUGACGACCUAUUUAUUUUAAAUAGGGAAGUAAUUAAUGCUACGCUUCCAGGAAAAUCUUCUAAGAGUGGGUAUUGUUGAACCGUACCCAAAACCGACACAGGUGGACGGGUAGAAAAUACCAAGGCGUUGAGAGAACUUAGGUGAAGGAACUCGGCAAAAUAGCACCGUAACUUCGGGAUAAGGUGCGCCAUUAUUUGUGAAUUUUUUAACAAAAUUAGCUUAUGAUGGUCUCAGAAAAUAGGUGGCUGCGACUGUUUACUAAAAACACAGCACUCUGCAAACUUGUAAAAGGAAGUAUAGGGUGUGACGCCUGCCCGGUGCCGGAAAGUUAAUUGAUGGGGUUAGUUUAUACAAAGCUCUUGAUCGAAGCUCCGGUAAACGGCGGCCGUAACUAUAACGGUCCUAAGGUAGCGAAAUUCCUUGUCGGGUAAGUUCCGACCUGCACGAAUGGCGUAACGAUGGCCACACUGUCUCCACCUAAGACUCAGUGAAAUUGAAAUUGCUGUGAAGAUGCAGUGUACCCGCGGCAAGACGGAAAGACCCCGUGCACCUUUACUAUAACUUUAUAUUGAAGUUUGGAUGAAUUUGUGUAGAAUAGGUGGGAGACUAUGAAGCGCUUUCGUUAGAUUGCGUGGAGUCAAUCUUGAAAUACCACCCUAAUUUAUUUGAAUUUCUAACUUCAAUCCGUAAUCCGGAUUAAGGACAAUGUAUGGUAGGUAGUUUGACUGGGGCGGUCUCCUCCUAAAGAGUAACGGAGGAGCGCGAAGGUACCCUCGACAUGGUUGGAAAUCAUGUUAUGAGUGCAAAAGCAGAAGGGUGCUUGACUGCGAGACAAACAAGUCGAGCAGGAACGAAAGUUGGUUUUAGUGAUCCGGUGGUUCUGUAUGGAAGGGCCAUCGCUCAACGAAUAAAAGGUACGCCGGGGAUAACAGGCUGAUACCCCCCAAGAGUUCACAUCGACGGGGGUGUUUGGCACCUCGAUGUCGGCUCAUCACAUCCUGGGGCUGAAAAAGGUCCCAAGGGUAUGGCUGUUCGCCAUUUAAUGUGGUACGUGAGCUGGGUUUAGAACGUCGUGAG